AAUAAGCGAACUUGUUAAUGAAACUGAAGUUGUAAAACAGUUAGGAGAAUGCCAUGGUUUUAUUCUGUUCAGUGUUGAACGUGCCCUGUAUCAUCACUUCAAGGGGAACUCUAUGAGGGAAGCUUGCCUGGGGGUCCAGAACUACCAAAAGUGUAUUGUGGCAAAACUGGAACAAUUUCAUGACCGAAACUUCACAAUGCCAGACAGCCAAAUUGUGAAAUACUACACUAUGAGGUUAUUUGGGAAAUACAACUGGACAUGUGACAGUCUGGAUCAUAAAAAAAAAUAUACUACCUUGACCACCUCGCUUGUAUUGAAGAUCAACUGCAAGAAUGCAGGUUCAUGCCGACGGUACUAAAGCUAGGGCGCAUCCGAAGACACACCCAACUUCUGGACAGCAGUUAUAAAAAAUACUGUUCCUUUUUAAUGAAAGGAAAAAAUGAGUGUACCACCAAGCUGCUCCCUGGAAAGUAUGAACAGUGCCUAGG